GUUAGGGUGGCAGAGCCCGGUAAAUGCAUAAGACUUAAGACUUUAAAAUCAGAGGUUCAAAUCCUCUCCCUAACA
rnacentral:tRNA from 1 species